AGUCGUAACAAGGUUUCCGUAGGUGAACCUGCGGAAGGAUCAUUAACAAAAUCAUCAUUUAAACCCGUUGAACUGCAUGUUUAUUAUUGGAGAGCUGCGACGUUUGCCGCAUUCUCUCUAAUGGUAAAUGUGCUGCGUGUAAGGCUAUGGCAUCGGUACGAUGCGGCUUUACAUAAUAGUCUAUUCAGUUUGUUUUGUCCCGUGAAACAAUAAAUUCAGUACAACUAUUAACAGUGGAUCUCUAGGCUCCCA
rnacentral:misc_RNA from 1 species